AGUUUGUUUAUCUAUAUUUCUAGAUGGCUUAAAUGUUGAAUUUGGUUUGUGUAUCUAUAUUUCUGUUUGAGGAAUCUAGGAUGUGGUAAUGUGCUAUAUAAUUAUAUUUCUAUAAAGUUGGAACUAUAUAUGAACUGGAAUUGAAUGGAAAAUUUGAUUUUAAAGAUAUGAGGCUUCAAAUAGCUUCCUCCUCUACUUGCAGUAGGAAAGCUUUAAAUGGGAGUGAAUUUUUCAACCUGUGCAUUCUAGCUGCUAACCUUAUGAUUUUGUUUAUCGUAGAUCUUUUCUUAUAUAUAAAGGAUUGACUGAAUUUAUGAGCUUCAAUUACAUUUUGGUUUACUGUUUCCUUUGAUGAUAUGCUACAGUGAGUUCGUUAAGUAAGCAAAAAGAUUAGCAAUUUUGAGGAAAUCAAGCAGCAGCUCUGAGAGAUGUCGGAUGUGAAGUAAUUGAGGCCAUGGCUGCCAUUAACAAGGUACAUAAAGGACAUUGUGCAAGACAAACUUUUCAGACAAUGAAACUGAGCCAGUGUAUCUAAUAGCAGACUGCUGACCAUUUGAGUUGAGUGAAGGAAUCAUACCUCCAUUAUGAAAAUCAGUGGUGGAUAUGGUGUUGACAAGGGCUUGUGGAGGCUAAUCGACAGCUGUAGAACUGGACGGCAUCGUGUUACCGUUUGCCGGAUUUCCUGUCGAAGCUGGAUUCCCAGCUGGAUUCUCUGUUGCAGCCGAACGAUUUCCGA